GACGAACGUUGGCGGCGUGCUUAACACAUGCAAGUCGAACGAAGAGCGAUGGAAGCUUGCUUCUAUCAAUCUUAGUGGCGAACGGGUGAGUAACGCGUAAUCAACCUGCCCUUCAGAGGGGGACAACAGUUGGAAACGACUGCUAAUACCGCAUACGAUCUAAUCUCGGCAUCGAGGAUAGAUGAAAGGUGGCCUCUACAUGUAAGCUAUCACUGAAGGAGGGGAUUGCGUCUGAUUAGCUAGUUGGAAGGGUAACGGCCCACCAAGGCGAUGAUCAGUAGCCGGUCUGAGAGGAUGAACGGCCACAUUGGGACUGAGACACGGCCCAGACUCCUACGGGAGGCAGCAGUGGGGAAUCUUCCGCAAUGGACGAAAGUCUGACGGAGCAACGCCGCGUGAGUGAUGACGGCCUUCGGGUUGUAAAGCUCUGUUAAUCGGGACGAAAGGCCUUCUUGCGAAUAGUAGAAGGAUUGACGGUACCGGAAUAGAAGCC
rnacentral:rRNA from 1 species